rnacentral:tRNA from 1 species
GCUCGGGUGGUGAAAUUGGCAGACACGCCAGACUUAGGAUCUGGUUCCGCGAGGAAUGGGGGUUCGAGUCCCCCCUCGAGCACCA